GUCCGCUAGUCCAACAACACUUGCAGUUCCAGACAGACAGAGGAGAGAGUAGUGUGCCUUGGUAGCAAGCAAGCAUACAAAGCAGUACAGUACUGUGCAGGCCGGAGAAAAAGCAGAAAUAAUAGCUGACAGCCAGCCAUUGCUGCCUUCCGUUCCUUUGGCUCCUUUCCUUUGCGUACAGAGCUACCAGUGCCUCCGCUCUCCCUCUCUCCUCCUCCCUCCUCUCAGCUUCCUCCCAUUUCUCCUCAGCGCGGCUUCUUCUCCGAGUUCGUUGCUCCUUUGGAAGCCCGGCCAGGGCGGCUCGGCUGCAAGGAGAGACGACGGCGGCAAUGGCGAUGGUGGACAAGGGAGGCGACGCCUCCGAGUUGGCCCCGGACAUCCAUGGAUUCGGGGAGAUCACCAGGAUGAGCAGCAGGCCGCCGCCGUCGGAACUCCAUGGUGGUCAGUGGUCACUGAUGUAGUCCAACCCAAGGCGUCCACCCAUCGGCAGGCGCCCCGCGAGACUCGUUCUCCAUGUGAAUUCAAGUCUGUGCGUGUCGUGGAGCUGGAGGUGGAUGCUUUGGUGGCGGAGGUGGAAGGACAAGGAUGCCAUGGUCACUGAAGCCAGCAAGCAAGCAAGCAAGCAAGCAGGGUGGGAAUGAAGCCGUACGGUCCGGGAGCUGUAUACAUGCAUAAAAUAUUUUUCCGUCUACCAUCAUUAAUUGGUAAUAACUGGUUAUUAUUAGCAACGGUGAUGAUUCUAAAGCCAAAUGAGGAGGCUAUAUGGUUUUUGUUGCA